AUUGAACGCUGGCGGCAGGCCUAACACAUGCAAGUCGAGCGAGCGGCGGACGGGUGAGUAAUGUCUGGGAAACUGCCUGAUAGAGGGGGAUAACUACUGGAAACGGUAGCUAAUACCGCAUACCAUCAGAUGUGCCCAGAUGGGAUUAGCUGGUAGGUGGGGUAACGGCUCACCUAGGCGACGAUCCCUAGCUGGUCUGAGAGGAUGACCAGCCACACUGGAACUGAGACACGGUCCAGACUCCUACGGGAGGCAGCAGUGGGGAAUAUUGCACAAUGGGCGCAAGCCUGAUGCAGCCAUGCCGCGUGUGUGAAGAAGGCCUUCGGGUUGUAAAGCACUUUCAGCAGGGAGGCGUUACCUGCAGAAGAAGCACCGGCUAACUACGUGCCAGCAGCCGCGGUAAUAC
rnacentral:rRNA from 1 species